rnacentral:rRNA from 1 species
GACGAACGCUGGCGGCGUGCUUAACACAUGCAAGUCGAACGAUGAAGCCGGAGCUUGCUCUGGUGAAUUAGUGGCGAACGGGUGAGUAACACGUGAGUAACCUGCCCUUGACUCUGGGAUAACUGCUAGAAAUGGUAGCUAAUACCGGAUACGACCCUCGGAGGCAUCUCCAGGGGGUGGAAAGAAUUUCGGUCAAGGAUGGACUCGCGGCCUAUCAGCUAGUUGGUGAGGUAAUGGCUCACCAAGGCGACGACGGGUAGCCGGCCUGAGAGGGUGACCGGCCACACUGGGACUGAGACACGGCCCAGACUCCUACGGGAGGCAGCAGUGGGGAAUAUUGCACAAUGGGCGCAAGCCUGGUGCAGCAACGCCGCGUGAGGGAUGACGGCCUUCGGGUUGUAAACCUCUUUUAGUAGGGAAGAAGCGAAAGUGACGGUACCUGCAGAAAAAGCACCGGCUAACUACGUGCCAGCAGCCGCAGUAA